UUUUCUACCUACUUUUGGCGGGAUCUACUCUGAAUUUGUAUGAUAUUUAUCAAGCCCCUCUCUGGCAGGAGCUGGAGGAGGUCAAAGCUAACCCUAUUGAAUGUAGUCUGGGCAAUCAUGGCAAUUUUCCAGAAAGAAUUUCCAGAACAGAGGCAUGCUUCUCUUCUUAGGCUCCUACUAAUCAUUAUUACCGUAUUAACGGCUGACUUGCCAGAAACCUGCUCAGAGAAAUACAAGAUACGUGGUGGAAGACUGUGUUCUCAAAAACGGAUGCCAGCUCAACGAAGAGAAAGCUUCGCUGUGUGUAAGUGGAAGACAGGAACAUGAGGAAAGUACCAGAGGGUGGGGACGAGAAUAUAGGCACACUGAAACAAGGAACUGCAGAAAGUCUAUGUGAGUGGGCAAGAAAUGGGCUCCCACUUCUGCUGUGUGGUAUCUUUCUUCCUAACUGGGUAGUGCAGAAGAGGGUGCCACUCAGGCUCUGGGUUGGGGGGGGGGUCAACAUUGACCCCUCUGAUGUUAUCUGGUGGGCUGGGAAUCAUUUCUGCAAGAGGGUAACCAAACAUGUGCAGACAAUUAUGUCUGAUUACAUAAGCUUCCCACAGAAACUGGGCUUGAAAAUGCCACUCGAAAGAGUCUGUGGUUGUGCGUUAAUUUUUUUCCCUGGGAACCAUGUUUGUUUUAUUUCUGGGCCUUCAAUAUGCGGGGUAAAUGAUUCAAAGGCUGAUCGUGGAGGAUGCGUGCCUUUUGGUAUCCAUUUUAAAUUUUCCGUGGUGCCACCUGCAGGAGACGAAGCCGGUUAGAGCAAGCUGUGUUUUUAGACCGUGGUGUUCGACACGGACCCGUGUGUACGUGCAGAGUGGGGCUCUGGCCGCCAGGAGAAGAAAGAGGGAAGGAGGGAGACAAGAAGAGAUGAGGGCAGGAAUGAGAGGUUCGAGCCAAGAAAUAAAAAUAAACAAUUCCCAAACCCAAGGCAGCAAUGGAAUUUCCAGCUGGACUCUGGAUUGUGUUUCAUUCGGCAGAGGACAUUUUCUGGGCAGCCUUUAUCUGCUCCCCCGGCUGGGUUUGCAUAGCACCCAUUUCUUAUCCAACCAACGUCUAUUUUAAAUCCCAUCAAGUUCAGACCACUUGCCUUUCAGUGAGCCCAGGUGGCAAAGGCGUGGAAGGUCGCGGAAGAGCUGGGAGACCCUGGCCCUGGUCACUCUCGUGUGUCCGUGGGCAGGCAUCGUACCUCUCUUCCAGAAAACAGGGCCAGCACUUCCCACCCUUAAAACCCCAAGGGCUGCUUCAGGGAAAAUGAGAAAAUAAGGAGGAAAGGGCUUGGCAAAGUAGAAAUUGUUCCACACGAAUGCAGUAUGAAAUGUUCUAAGUGAUAACGUUCUAAUCUGACCUUUUUUCUCCUCUUGUGUGAGCAGUUUUUUACAGUAGGUAGGUAGUUCCUAGUGAGGAUUGGUCAGGACACGGCUGUCACUUUUUUCUCUCCUGGUGGGAAGCUACGCUUUCGAAAAGGAUGUAGGGUUCGCGAGUCCUGAACACCCCCUUCCUUAGCGGCGGUGAGCUUAGGUCCCCUGUGCUCUCAGAUGACAGUGGACAACACGUAACAGCUUAGAGGGGCUCUGAGGAACAGAGGGAGGUUAUUCUACUUCCCUGUCAAUCAGACGUACUUAGAUCACAUUCUUCUCUUUCCUUUCUCGCUGCCGUUGCCCUAGUUCUAGAAUAGUUCAUUGGCUGGGCCAUUUCACAUGACCACUUUCUAGUCACUGUUCUUGCCUUCGGUGUCUCCUUUCUCCUGCAUACACCCUCUGAAUUUUGCCAUUCCUUGCCCGGAAAUCACCAGCGCCGGUCUGCUGCCUACCUAAGCGAGUUCAAACCCCAAGUCUGACAUCCGGGGUCUCCCACACUCUGGCCCCAACCUACCUGCCCUUCUACCUCAUCCUCCUGACAUCCAGGUAGAAUUUGGUUGCUGGGCAACAGGGUCAGUUCAUCGUUGCCUGGUUACCCACAUCCCCCUAUGUUUGCUCAUGGCCACCACCUCCAUAAAUGCCCUUCAUUCCUGUGCCGCCUUCCCCGUGCCUCCCCACCCUCAAAAAUCCCUUUUGCUUCCACAGCCGUCUCCUCGUUGCUGCCUGUGUUUUCUUCCUUAGCCCUUCUCCCCUGCUUCUCUCUGCCUCAUCACACAUACCCUGCCUUUGCGUUAUAGGUACGUGAACAGAUGGACCUACUUGGUCUUCGUGUCUUUCACUCCUGAAUAUUUCCUAAAUAUUUCCUAAAUGCCUGUAUUAGUUGCUCAAAACAUGUUUGCUGAUGGAUGAAUCAGGUAAGAGAAGACAAGUCGCCACUGGAUUUACAAAGUGCACUCAGUGGCCAGUAUCCACAUCUUACAUAGCAGUAAAGUAUCUAGUAGUGAUUUUUCUUUUAAAUGCUUUACUAACCCACAAAUAUCCCGUGUUUUUAAUUCAGAAAGUUUCUCCAGUCUGCCCUAUAAUAAAAAGUUUCCGAACUUGUGGCCAGUGCGGAUUCUCCGAGAACAUGAUUCGCAUUAAAUCCAUGAAGCUGCAUAGUGAUGAUGUUGUCAAGAGGAUGAUCCCUUUGAAUUCUGCAGAACUUGUCCUGUCCUCAAAGAAACCCUAUGCCAAAACCUGUUUGUGGGAUACCAUCCAUAGUAGAAAUAGAAAUCAUUUCUGGUGGCCUUUUCUCUUUGUCAUCUCUACCAGAUGGGGCAUUGAAACCUCCAUGGACAGACGUGUUGGGGGUAGAAGCAACUUGAAAUUGGGAAAUUUAGAUCUUUCCUGUGGCUCUGCUUUUGAUAAGUGGCAUCGCCUCUGCAUGUUUGCCUCGUCUAUAAAGUUUACCAGAUAAGCAAGCUCUAAACUCCCCUUCUAAAUUCCAUAGUUCUAGAGUCCUUCCAGUAUGAUCUUUGGUUCCUCCUGUCAGCUCCAGGGAUGCCCAACUCCACUGUAGCCUAGCCUCCCUGGACACCUCUUUGGGUAGAGUUAGCCCCUGCCGUUCCUUCUAGCCUCCCCCUCUAACCCCUAAAAUUGUAUCUUGAGGUCCUAAAUGGGAAGGAGGAAGAGCUUUCAUUACAUAAACCUUUCCCUGUGAAUUCUCAGAGAUCCGUGGAAGCAGAAAGCAUUAUUCUUCCCGGGGCGGAACACUUUAUUUUUAAUUAUUUUCAAAUGUGAGUUAAGGGAGUGAGUUCACUCCAGCCAAUUUUAAAUGUAAAUAGAAACCCCUGGAAGAAAAAGAGCAACCCCUAUAUGAUGUUUCUUAUUCAAGAGUUUUAGUGAAGGUGGAAAUAAAGUGUUAGUGUUCUCUCUGUAAAGGCAGGGCGCCAUCAAUGUCCGUUUAUGACAGAAACAUCCCGUGAGUUUUGCUUUGUGAUAAUUACAGGAAUGGAAAAACAGAGAUGAAACUUUUCUCUUUGGAAGCCAUAGCAUAUGUAUUUUUGUUUGGGUUUUGCUUUUCUCCCAUGUUCGGCAAAGGGAGAAAAAGGACACUUAAUGAGGAAAUAAAGAAAAUAUAAAUCUUGAGGAUGAAAAUAGCAUCCUAUUGAACACAUUGCAGGCGCUUAGAUAUCAGAAGGGUUACUUGGUAAUACUUGGCUACGUGCCAUCAUUUUAAUUUUUUCUUAACUACUUCGGAGAGACCUCCCUCCACUUAAAGUAUAUAUUAAUAAGACGUUGCCACAUGUGAAAUUGUAGGACUGGGAAGUUAGGGCGAUAAUUAAAAUUCAUAUUCAAAUCUUUAAAAACUCAUUUUAAUUAUAUGAAGUUUUAAUUCUUCUAUUUUGCCAAGUGGAAUUUGAAAUGUGAAGGUACAAAGACAUAUCCAGAUAUGCCCCCUGCUUACGUGCCUUCGGGUACCUUCUGAUGCUGCGGUAGGGGACCAGUGAACAGGCCCAGGCUGGCAGGGUGAAGGGAGUGAUGAGAAUCAACAGGUCUGAACAUGGUGAACCAAUCUUCAGAGGGUUUGAAGGCAGCAGGAAUGGGGUAGAUGGACUCCUGCCUUCCAGAAGCUUCCAGCCUGGCUUUCUUUUAUGGCAGAGUCAAAAGGAAACAGAGGAAGCCCCUUUAGUUUCUUAUCUGAUGAGGCCUUUAAAUCUUAAUACCAUAUCAGCUCAGCAUUUGAGAAGGGAAAAGCAUUUUAUUUGAGCCCACAAUAGUUGCAGAAGCAAAAACAAAUCUCUUAAUAUUGUAAUUUCCUAGGCAUCCAUUGUUUUUCCUCCGUGGCCAGGGGAAAGCCCUUAAAGGUACAGAAAACGAAUGAGUCCAAAUUGUCCAGUGGCAUCCUUACACACUCAUGCACUCAUGUGUUCAUGUAUUCAUCUGUGCAUCUGU